GAGGGUCUAGCUCAAUGGUAGAGCACAUGCUGAGAAUGCAUGAGGUCCUCGGUUCAAUCCCCAGUGCCUCU
rnacentral:tRNA from 1 species